rnacentral:rRNA from 1 species
AGAGUUUGAUCCUGGCUCAGGAUGAAUGCUGGCGGCGUGCUUAACACAUGCAAGUCGAACGGGAAAUAUUUCAUUGAGACUUCGGUGGAUUUGAUCUAUUUCUAGUGGCGGACGGGUGAGUAACUCGUGGGUAACCUGCCUUAUACAGGGGGAUAACAGUCAGAAAUGGCUGCUAAUACCGCAUAAGCGCACAGAGCUGCAUGGCUCGGUGUGAAAAACUCCGGUGGUAUAAGAUGGACCCGCGUUGGAUUAGCUGGUUGGUGAGGUAACGGCUCACCAAGGCGACGAUCCAUAGCCGGCCUGAGAGGGUGAACGGCCACAUUGGGACUGAGACACGGCCCAGACUCCUACGGGAGGCAGCAGUGGGGAAUAUUGCACAAUGGGGGAAACCCUGAUGCAGCGACGCCGCGUGAAGGAAGAAGUAUCUCGGUAUGUAAACUUCUAUCAGCAGGGAAGAUAGUGACGGUACCUGACUAAGAAGCCCCGGCUAACUACGUGCCAGCAGCCGCGGUAAUACGUAGGGGGCAAGCGUUAUCCGGAUUUACUGGGUGUAAAGGGAGCGUAGACGGACUGGCAAGUCUGAUGUGAAAGGCGGGGGCUCAACCCCUGGACUGCAUUGGAAACUGUUAGUCUUGAGUGCCGGAGAGGUAAGCGGAAUUCCUAGUGUAGCGGUGAAAUGCGUAGAUAUUAGGAGGAACACCAGUGGCGAAGGCGGCUUACUGGACGGUAACUGACGCUGAGGCUCGAAAGCAUGGGUAGCAAACAGGAUUAGAUACCCUGGUAGUCCAUGCCGUAAACGAUGA